GAUGAACGCUGGCGGCGUGCCUAAUACAUGCAAGUCGAGCGAACAGAUAAGGAGCUUGCUCCUUUGACGUUAGCGGCGGACGGGUGAGUAACACGUGGGUAACCUACCUAUAAGACUGGAAUAACUCCGGGAAACCGGGGCUAAUGCCGGAUAACAUUUAGAACCGCAUGGUUCUAAAGUGAAAGAUGGUUUUGCUAUCACUUAUAGAUGGACCCGCGCCGUAUUAGCUAGUUGGUAAGGUAACGGCUUACCAAGGCAACGAUACGUAGCCGACCUGAGAGGGUGAUGGGCCACACUGGAACUGAGACACGGUCCAGACUCCUACGGGAGGCAGCAGUAGGGAAUCUUCCGCAAUGGGCGAAAGCCUGACGGAGCAACGCCGCGUGAGUGAUGAAGGUCUUCGGAUCGUAAAACUCUGUUAUUAGGGAAGAACAAAUGUGUAAGUAACUGUGCACGUCUUGACGGUACCUAAUCAGAAAGCCACGGCUAACUACGUG
rnacentral:rRNA from 1 species